AUGCAGUUCGGUACUCCAUUACAGGCGCCAUUUGUGGAGCCCACUCAGUACUGAAUACAUUGCGGAGAUGCUGUGUUGCAGCGCCAGGAUAUACCGAGGUGGAUCGACAAUUAUAAAAAGAAGCUGAAGAGGGGAGAGCAUUCCAGUGAACCCAGAGUUAAACUUGAAAAAGGGCUAAGAGAGGCAUCGAUGUGUUCGACAGUGAGAACUUAUCAAAACAAGAGGGCAACACUAACAAAGAGAAGGUGCAGGCUUUACACAGGACCUGGAGGAGCAGCACAGCCGAGGAACAGGAGCGGUGCUCUGAAACGUCGAGGAAAAUGACCCCUCCACAGCGACGUGCAGACCACAGUCCUGAUCAAAAGAAGAGCCUCUACAAGGACACCUUAAAGAAUAUUGCACAACAGGUCAUCUGUGUGGUCAGCUUAUACAAGAGAUGGGCAGCUCUAGUCCUCAAAUUUGCAGCUUUCGUUCAUGUUCUACCUCAGUUAUCGAGCUCGUAAAUGCGAGUUGUCUUUUUUGUACUUAUGUUUCUACCAGUUGCUAAUCAGAAAAUAAAACAAAGAUUCCAACCCCUCAAAGACUGAAAGAGCCAGUUCUUUAUUUGCACCAAACAAACAAUUGAAAACUCAGAAUUAAAAACAAAUGUUACUGUCACACUCUGAUGAGAUGUUCUAUCUUAAAUAGGUGUCAAUCCUAGAAGAAUUAGGAAGAAGGGGGUCAUAGUUCUCGCUGUAGACUGCAGCAAUAAAUGAUCAUGAUUUGGGACAGACAAGGGCCUGGACUGGCUGAACGAGCAAAUGGAGCUGCAGUGUUGCUUCCUUUCCACCUGCAUAGGUCAGGCUUGUCUCUCAUCUAUAAAUUCAGAAUUGAAAUAUAUCUUAACUUGUUUCAUUGAAUUGAAAAGUAUGUUUUAUAAUAAACAGUGUGU